rnacentral:rRNA from 1 species
UCGGGAAUUUUGGGCAAUGGGGGAAACCCUGACCCAGCAACGCCGCGUGAAGGAUGAAGUAUUUCGGUAUGUAAACUUCGAAAGAAUAGGAAGAAUAAAUGACGGUACUAUUUAUAAGGUCCGGCUAACUACGUGCCAGCAGCCGCGGUAAUACGUAGGGACCAAGCGUUGUUCGGAUUUACUGGGCGUAAAGGGCGCGUAGGCGGCAUGACAAGUCACUUGUGAAAUCUCUGGGCUUAACCCAGAACGGCCAAGUGAUACUGUCGCGCUAGAGUGCAGAAGGGGCAAUCGGAAUUCUUGGUGUAGCGGUGAAAUGCGUAGAUAUCAGGAGGAACACCGGUGGUGUAGACGGCUUUCUGGACCAUUACUGACGCUGAGGCACGAAAGCGUGGGGAGCAAACAGGAUUAGAUACCCUGGUAUUCCCUGAGCGGGCUGGCAAGGCGCAU